GGCCGGGCGGGGGGGCCCUCCCUCCCCAACGCGGCCUGGAGCCCCUUCGGCUCAGGUGAGGGCCGCCCCACGGGGGCUCGGAGGGGACAACAAGCGCUCGCCGGGCGCGCGGAGGGACCAAAAGGCACCAGGUUUUCCUUGCUGGUUCUGGAGCACUUCCGGAGAAGCUGUUUUGGAUUAGUUCUCCAUUGUAAAAUGCAGGGUGUCCUAAAGAUGGAUAUAGAGGACUGCAAUGGACGCUCUUACAUAUCUGGUAGUGGAGAUUCCUCUUUGGAAAAGGAGUUCACCUCCACCAUUGUGGGGCCAACAGUGAGCACACCAAACAGCCAACACUCCUCCCCAAGCCGCUCCCUUAGUGGUGAGUAUUUAAUCUUGGGAUUCCAAUAAUUCACCCUGAAAAUGCAUUAUACUACGUUUUGACUGGGCUAGUGACCACAUUCAAAGGAAGACCAAUUUUCUGUUCUUGAGAUCUUCUUGCACCAGAGUACUAAAAAUGCCAAAACAAAGCACAACUGAAAUAGGUAGCAAGUUUACAUCUGGUCUUGAAUAAUAGACACUUCUUACUGUUAAGCAUGUUAGAAAAAAGCUAUCUCAUUGCCCAUGAAGGCUUUUAGAAGAGAUGAUCAACUUUUUUUAAACAGCAAAGUGACAUUCUUGAGAAAUUGGAGUACCAUACAAACCAUGCCACACUUUGCAAACUCCUAAUCUAAACCAAUAACUAUCUUUUCCAUUUGAUAAGACCAAGAUGUAAAAAUCAUGAAGUUCUCUGGAAAUUUUCAUAGGAUCAGAAUAUAGUGGAGCUAAGGGCUCUCAGGGUUGAAAUACUGGAACUUCAAAGGGAACCCCUUAGAUUUUAUUUGAAGACAUUGAAUCACUUUACAAUUCCUGUUACAUUAGAAAAGAAAAAGGCUGUUCAAGGCACUCUCUGUCAUAGUGAAUGGCAGCAGAUUGGAAUUGUUGACGGAAAGCAUUUACUGAUGUUGGCUUAUAUAAUGCAGAGAUUAGUUGGGGAAUUUAAAUACAAAGAGUACUAGGAAAAGACUAGUAUGCAUUAAUGGAUUCUAACUUGUUGCUGUCUGAAACUUCAGUCCUUGCUUGCUGUAAUUUAUAGUUAUUUUGUGUGUGAAAGAAACCAAAUUCUGUGGGAAAGUAUGAAGUUGCCAAAUUGUAGAAUGAACUUCUUGUUGUGGGUCUUCAGAUCUACUCUACCUUAUGGUGUCCUUCCCAUAGGGUUUGAUUAAGGCGGCUUGUUCACAUGAGAUUUGCCAUUGCCUUCCUCUGAAAUUGAGGGUGUAGACCUGUCUAGGGCCAUCCAGUGGGUUUCUAUAGUUGAGCGUGAUUCAGACCGAAUCAUCUGGGCUCUAAAACAAUCAAACUAGUAUACCAUGCUGGUAGAAUAACAGUUGUCUGCUUUUGGGAAUUGGAAAUAAUCCGUGUUUUUCAUUUGGUUUCUGCAUUACGUUGACUUUUUAUGAUUUUUCGCAUGAUAGAGCUGCAACAUCAUUUCUUACUCUGAAGUCUCUUGAUAUAUAUCCCAUCUGAUAGCCAGCUUGUAAAUGGUCACUUUGGAACCAAUGCAAGUAGAAGGGUGGGGUAUAAAAUAAAUAAAAACAAUUUCUUGGUUUUCAUCAUUUGGAAAAGAAUAUUCAGAAGUUCAUAUAAUGUGUUCUGCAUUUAGUUGAUUCCACAGAAAAUUAUCUGUUCUUUUGUUUGGUGUGAGAGACAAACUUGCUGAUUAAGUGAGCAUGCAGGAAAUAAAGAUGUUCCUCUUUAACAGGGAAACGCAGGCUCUUGGUGUUGCUUCUGAUCAGUCUUGAUUUCACAG
rnacentral:lncRNA from 1 species